UACGUAGGGUGCGAGCGUUGUCCGGAAUUAUUGGGCGUAAAGAGCUCGUAGGCGGUCUGUCGCGUCUGCUGUGAAAACCCGAGGCUCAACCUCGGGCCUGCAGUGGGUACGGGCAGACUAGAGUGCGGUAGGGGAGAAUGGAACUCCUGGUGUAGCGGUGGAAUGCGCAGAUAUCAGGAAGAACACCGAUGGCGAAGGCAGUUCUCUGGGCCGCAACUGACGCUGAGGAGCGAAAGCAUGGGGAGCGAACAGG
rnacentral:rRNA from 1 species